AUGGUGCGGCUUAGGUCAACUAAUACGAAUAAGAUACAGUUCACUCAACGAUUGCCCUUGGGUCCCGAACUCCAUAUGGGGAAGGAACGUUGUUGUUUGCGAGGUCUCGAUCAUUUACAUGGACCCACUUCUCAUUCCAUUUGUGGGAAUUUGAUGAUUUAUAAACCGUCCCCAACGAGCGAAAGGUUCAUGUUUGAACAUGAUGAAUCACUUCGUGCCGACCUGUUGCCCAUAAACUUUCCUGCCUCAUAUGAGAAUGGAAAACUGGAAGAUUUUCUGCAUCGGCGGAUGAAGAAUCACGAACAUAAGAAUUUCUGGUUUAGCAUGUUCCCAGAAAGAAGAUACUUUUUUUCCAUUCGAGAAACGAGGAGCACGACUGAAGUGGCUAUACAUACAAAUCCAUUUACGGAUCUAUAUGCUCCAAUUGGAACUGGAAGUUCCAGAACUGGCGGCUGGAUA
rnacentral:rRNA from 1 species